rnacentral:rRNA from 1 species
ACAGAGGGUGCAAGCGUUAAUCGGAAUUACUGGGCGUAAAGCGUGCGCAGACGGUUAUCUAAGUCAGAUGUGAAAGCCCCGGGCUCAACCUGGGAAUUGCAUUUGAGACUGAAUAGCUAGGGUACGGAAGAGGGAAGCGGAAUUUCAGGUGUAGCAGUGAAAUGCGUAGAUAUCUGAAGGAACAUCAGUGGCGAAGGCGGCUUCCUGGUCCAGUACCGACGUUCAGGCACGAAAGCGUGGGGAGCAAACAGGAUUAGAUACCCUGGUAGUCCACGCCUUAAACGAUGAGAACUAGACGUUGGGAGGGUUAGCCUCUCAGUGUCGCAGCUAACGCGCUAAGUUCUCCGCCUGGGGAGUACGGCCGCAAGGUUG